rnacentral:rRNA from 1 species
CAGCCGCCGCGGGAAUACGAAGGGGGCUAGCGUUGCUCGGAAUGACUGGGCGUAAAGGGCGCGUAGGCGGCGAUCAAAGUCAGGCGUGAAAUUCCUGGGCUCAACCUGGGGGCUGCGCUUGAUACUUGGUUGCUUGAGUGGGGAAGAGGGUCGUGGAAUUCCCAGUGUAGAGGUGAAAUUCGUAGGUAUUGGGAAGAACACCGGUGGCGAAGGCGGCGACCUGGUUCAUGAUUGACGCUGAGGCGCGAAAGCGUGGGGAGCAAACAGGAUUAGAGACCCGUGUAGUCCCUGUCUCUUAUAC